ensembl:lncRNA
AUGUUGAAUAUUGGCCCCCAUUCUCUUCUGGCUUGUAGUGUUUCUGCCGAGAGAUCUGCUGUAAGUCAGAGUUGCCUAGGCAACUGCUUAGUGGAUAGGUUACCGGGGCUUGUUUUGACAUCAUAUAUAUUUCCUUCUUUGCAUAUAUCAAAACAAUUUUUUACUUUUUUAAAUGUGUCAAUAAACAUCUUUGAAAGAAACAAACUCAGAUUUUAUAGUUUUUCAUUUUUGCUAGCAGUGAGGCCUAAUGCUUCUUAGCAGCAAUGAGCAACUUCAUUUAAACUGAUUACUUUGGACUAAAGAAAAGACAAACAGCAAUUCUACUUUACUCAGUCUUCAGAGUCAAACUUCACAACAGAAUUUCCUAGAAUUGGAGCUAAGUACAAGGGUUAGAAAUACAGGAGUAAGAAAAAACCUAAUAUGAUAAAUAAAUCUGUAAUUAAGUAACAGGGAUCUGUUAGAAUCAGAGCAGUCCUGAGUAUUACCUUACUAAAAAAGUUCAGCUGCAUAGGUUUUGAAUGAAUCUUCGAUUAUUCUGGUUCCACAUAUGUUGAAUUCAACAAAUAAUUUAAAAGGUUACUAUAUUUUUAAUGUUAAAAGGAAGUCUUCAAAUUUUUGGUAUUGGUAUAAAGUUAUCAUUUGAAUACUCUCAGUGUUACUAUAUUCAGUCAGCUUUCUGAAUCCUCAGACUCUAUCUGUGGAUUCAGACAACUUUGGAUAGAAAGUUUAAAAAACCAAUAAAUAUUAUAAAGGAUAAUACAAAUGAAAAAACAAUAUAACAAUUACAUAGCACAAUGUAAGUGCUAUGCAACCAUAUCUAAUCAUCUAGAGAUUAUUUAAAGAAUAUGGGAGGAUGUCCAUAGGUUAUAUGAAAAUACUGUGCUAUUUUAUAUAAGGAACUUGAGCAUCUGUGGAUUUCAAUAUCAGGGGAUGGCGUUCUGGAACCAGUCCAUUGUGGAUACUAACUAGAAUUCAUUUUAUCAUUUUAAAAAGUCAAUAUAUAUUAUCCUGAUACAUAAAAUCCUUGAGAGACCUGAUAUUCACAGAUAAAGCUGCGUAAGUGUAAUUGCUUUUAUGAAAGUUCCUAGAAGCAUCUUAGUCCAAUAUCAAUCUACCAAGUAUUAAAUGACUUUACCAAUUUCAAUAAAUGCCAAGACUGAUAUAAUCUGAUCAUAAGUUACUAGCAAGUAAGUGGAUAACUGAAUACACAGGGUAGUUCAGAAAUUCACUAUUGGGAACGGAAGAUCACAGAAAAGCAGGAUAACUGAUUCAUUCAUUUAUAAGGAGGAGAACCUUGAUUAAAUCUGCAAAUAAUUUUCAGUUUUUAAUGUAAUCUGCUUUUCUAAUCUUCCUGGUGACUAGGAACAGGUUAGGAAUGGGAGGUAGUGGAAUAAACAUGAGGAUUUCUGUUUUUUAACCACUGCCAUAAAAGCUUGGGAAAAAGAUAAACUCCAAAUCACCCAAGAACAUUCUUUCCUUAAAAUGUUUUCAAAAUAAAUGAGACCAAUCUUCAGAACAAUGCACAACUGUGGAUAAGUUAAAACCUUUAGGAAGGGGGAUAACUGGGAUAACUCGUGAGUACUGUAUAAUCCAGACUCAGGAGAAAUGACAUGUUUCCAGUUUCCUGGCAAAAGAAAGUAUAGGAAGGUAGGGUUUGGCAUUUUAACAUUUUAUCUAAAACUUUGAAAACAGAAACAAAUGUGCAAAACAUAUGACUGAAACAAACAAACAAAAAGUCAAAUGUACAACUCUAAAAAUAAGUGAUCAAUGUUUAAUAUUCUGAGGAAUAAGUAACAAAAUCAAGAAAGAUUUUUUACUUAGCUGGAUUCAUUUACUCUGAAUUCUUCGAAGAGUUAAAAAUGAACUAUCACACUCAUUGAUUUAGAACCAUCAGAUUUUACUUCUGGAAAAUCUAAUUCCUUUCAAAAGUUAUAAUUUUAAUGUUAGCACAAAAAUUAUUUCCUAACAUUUCAUUUUUAAAAAACAUUUUGCAGCCAAAGGUUCCUAUUUUUGAAUUACAGUACUGCAAGGCACAUACAGAACUCACCUCCUUCAAAACACACAGAAGAUAUACUCCCUGAAAUAGAAUUUUAAAAUCCUUGAACAAUUAGAAAUACUACAAAGUUAGCAUUUUUUAGGUAAAAAUGUUGCUCCUAUAGGAUCAUGCAACUUUCCUAAAAUCAAUUCAGCACAUAUGUCUAAAGAAUCCUUUUUAAAAACAUUUGCACUUAAAAUGCAGAUACAGUGAUGCUGAAGACACUAAACAAAAACUGAAAAGUACUAUAUCUUGAUAAAUUUUGUUAUUGCCUUCUUUAGAGAUUUUAUCAUCUCUAGUUGAUCUUCAAAGACUUUAAUUUAAUAAUGGGGUAAUUACACAAGACAUAAAGGAUUUUUAAAAAACAAUUAUUUUCUUACCUCUAGCAUCAAUUCUUUUAUAAAGAAUGCUAAAUAAAUUACAUUUUUUGUUCAGUAAAACUGAAGAUGGACCAUUUAAAUGCUUCUACCAAAUUUAAUGCAGCUUAAUUAGGGACCGGGUACAUAUUUUCUUCUGAACAUUUUUGGUCAAGCAUGUCUAACCAUAAAAGCAAAUGGAAUUUUAAGAGGUAGAUUUUUUUUUCCAUGAUGCAUUUUGUUAAUAAAUGUGUUGAGAAAAUAAAAACAAGCACUGAGUGUGUUCUCUUGAAGUAUAAGGGUCUAAUGAAAAAUAAAAGAUUGAUAUUUGUUAUAGUCUGACAUUUUAACAGUCAUAGUAUUAGACGUUUCGUGACCAGUG